rnacentral:rRNA from 1 species
GACGAACGCUGGCGGCGUGCCUAAUACAUGCAAGUCGAACGAGUGGCGGACGGGUGAGUAACACGUGGGAACCUACCCAUCAGAGGGGGAUAACACUUGGAAACAGGUGCUAAUACCGCAUACUAUCGGCUGAACUCAUAUGGGAUUAGCUAGUUGGUGGGGUUAAGGCUCACCUAGGCGACGAUAUCUAGCUGGCAUGAGAGGAUGAUCGGCCACACUGGGACUGAGACACGUCCCCGACUCCUACGGGAGGCAGCAGUAGGGAAUAUUGCGCAAUGGGCGCAAGCCUGAUGCAGCCAUGCCGCGUGUGUGAAGAAGGCCUUAGGGUUGUAAAGUACUUUCAUCGGGGAGGCGUUACCCGCAGAGAAAGCACCGGCUAACUCCGUGCCAGCAGCCGCGGUAAUUC